UAUUCAUUUGCCUAAAAAGUAAACACUUAAAAAAAAAGACGUAGACCUAUCUCAUGUAUUCGAAUGCAUCACAACUUUUCAGCAUUUAGAAGUAUCUAAAGUUGUAACAUUGAAAAAGGAUAUCAUCGAUAAAUGUCUGGCACAUGUCACGCUCAAUCAAUGACACGGUAAAUAACUUUCUUUGAAGGUAAAAGUGUCCCGACACUUGAUCCAUAAAUUUCGAAAGAAUUCAAUUUCAAUAUAAAAUGUCUAAGUACAUAUAUAUCGCUCGUAUCGCUAAGGAGACUCUAUUUUAGUGUAAUUAAAAAACUUAUUAAAACUCCUUUCAUACGUGCCUGCCUCGUGCUUAAAAAAAAGAAAAAUAAAUGUUUCAAAUCAUUCUUAUUUUAAAUUAGGAAUUGUAUGUCUGCUUCGUAAAUUUGACAAUAAAAUGGCGUGUUUAAAAUUAAAAUGUAUUUUAAUUAUUCAUAAAUAUUAUAAUAAAUGCCCAGUUCAAGAUUGCUAAAAAUGGAUUAUUGACGUCGUGUAUUAACGUUUAUUUUAACCUUGAAUACUAGAAAUAAAUACAUUGCUUACUUUAAAGAUAAAUGAUAAUACCUAGUUGUUUUUCAAGACUGGCUGUCUUGAGUCUUAAAGUCAAAAUACUUAAAGGCCUACGAGACACAAGUAAACAAAAUUAUCUUCUUUGAAGAUCACCGAUCUUUAUAAACUAGGUGGCAUCCGAAAAUAAUAUCCAAUUUCUAACGCUAACACAACCUUAAAAAGUCAUUGAGCUAAAUAUAGCGAAGACCGCAAUAGACAGCUAAUGGCUUACUACUUGAACGGUAAGCAUUGACGGAACGCAUCAAUUACAAAUCAUUAUAACCGCGAAUGAACGAUGAAGGAUAAGACUAAUCACCAGCUACGUUUCCAAGUAUGCACCGUCAUAUCCACAAGUUUCUAUCUAUAGUUAAUCCAUGAAGAGAAAAAACGUUCGCCGCAACUAAACUUUCCGGACUAAAAAACUAGAUAAAUGAAUCCGGACUUUUUGAACAUUAAAUGAAUGCUGGA